CGACGAUACAUAGCCGACCUGAGAGGGUGAUCGGCCACACUGGGACUGAGACACGGCCCAGACUCCUACGGGAGGCAGCAGUAGGGAAUCUUCGGCAAUGGACGGAAGUCUGACCGAGCAACGCCGCGUGAGUGAAGAAGGUUUUCGGAUCGUAAAGCUCUGUUGUAAGAGAAGAACGAGUGUGAGAGUGGAAAGUUCACACUGUGACGGUAACUUACCGGAAAGGGACGGCUAACUACGUGCCAGCAGCCGCGGUAAUACGUAGGUCCCGAGCGUUAUCCGGAUUUAUUGGGCGUAAAGCGAGCGCAGGCGGUUAGAUAAGUCUGAAGUUAAAGGCCGUGGCUUAACCAUAGUACGCUUUGGAAACUGUUUAACUUGAGUGCAGAAGGGGAGAGUGGAUUCCACGUGUAGCGGUGAAAUGCGU
rnacentral:rRNA from 1 species